rnacentral:rRNA from 1 species
GACGAACGCUGGCGGCGUGCUUAACACAUGCAAGUCGAACGGAAAGGCCCUGCUUUUGUGGGGUGCUCGAGUGGCGAACGGGUGAGUAACACGUGAGUAACCUGCCCUUGACUUUGGGAUAACUUCAGGAAACUGGGGCUAAUACCGGAUAGGAGCUCCUGCUGCAUGGUGGGGGUUGGAAAGUUUCGGCGGUUGGGGAUGGACUGGCGGCUUAUCAGCUUGUUGGUGGGGUAGUGGCUUACCAAGGCUUUGACGGGUAGCCGGCCUGAGAGGGUGACCGGCCACAUUGGGACUGAGGUACGGCCCAGACUCCUACGGGAGGCAGCAGUGGGGAAUAUUGCACGAUGGGCGGAAGCCUGAUGCAGCAACGCCGCGUGCUGGAUGACGGCCUUCGGGUUGUAAACCGCUUUCGCCUGUGACGAAGCGUGAGUGACGGUAAUGGGUAAAGAAGCACCGGCUAACUACGUG